CUCAAGCCAUACCGUGAAGGUGUU
rnacentral:siRNA from 1 species